GGAACAUAUUUCAACUAAAUAUUUAAGUGAAGACAAAAUCCCUACUACAAAACCUCCAAAUACUCUAACAAUGAUGAUUCUAUCAGGCCUACUCAGAACUACAGGUUUUCCCCACAUCUUGAUUUCAAAGCAUACUUUCUGUGACGUAUCUUCAUUUAAUCACUUUUAGAAUAAUUGAACAAGAAAAUAGGUAAGGAAUUAAAAUAAAUUUUAAAAUGGCAGUCCCAUUCUUACUGACAUAAAUUUAUUAAGAUCAAUGUUCCUUUUUGCAUAGAUCUUCCCAUUCUGUUUCAAUAACACCAGCAAGCAUAAACAGAUUUGAAAAGCUACGCAGCCACAGAAAACAGGUUCAGCAUGACAGACAGAUCUAGCUCAAAAGAGGUGCUCAGUGUCAAGCUCUUUUCUAAAAACCUCAAAGCUUGUUUUGUCUGCUGUUGCUUUCAAAGAACAAGCACAACAAAAUUGUUUUGAGGAAGUCUCUAGAU
rnacentral:lncRNA from 1 species